CCUAUGCUAGGAUGUGAUGGGGAAGCCCUUCGGGGCGAAGUAGCUGAUUUCACACUGUCAAGAAAAGCUUCUAUCGAGUUUAAAGGCGCCCGUACCGUAAACCGACACAGGUGGGUGAGGAGAGUAUCCUAAGGCCAGCGAGAGAACAAUUGUUAAGGAACUCGGCAAAAUGACCCCGUAACUUAGGGAGAAGGGGUGCCUGUCUAUGACAGGCCGCAGAGAAUAGGCCCAAGCGACUGUUUACCUAAAACACAGGUUUCUGCUAAGUCGCAAGACGAUGUAUAGGAGCUGACGCCUGCCCGGUGCUGGAAGGUUAAGGGGAUCUGUUAGAGCAAUCGAAGCAGUGAACUUAAGCCCCAGUAAACGGCGGCCGUAACUAUAACGGUCCUAAGGUAGCGAAAUUCCUUGUCGGGUAAGUUCCGACCCGCACGAAAGGCGUAACGAUUUGGGCACUGUCUCAACAAUAGACUCGGUGAAAUUGUAAUCCCGGUGAAGAUGCCGGGUACCCGCGACAGGACGGAAAGACCCCAUGGAGCUUUACUGUAGCUUGACGUUGGGUCUUGGUACUACAUGUACAGGAUAGGUGGGAGACUAUGAAGCAUGGACGCCAGUCUGUGUGGAGUCAUCCUUGGGAUACCACCCUUGUAGUACUGGGAUCCUAACCAUAGGCCUUGAAUCAGGUCUUGGAACACCGUCAGGUGGGCAGUUUGACUGGGGCGGUCGCCUCCUAAAAAGUAACGGAGGCGCUCAAAGGUUUCCUCAGCACGGUCGGAAAUCGUGCGAAGAGUGUAAAGGCAAAGGAAGCUUGAUUGCAAGACAUACAGGUCGAGCAAGGACGAAAGUCGGACUUAGUGAUCCGGUGGUACCGCAUGGAAGGGCCAUCGCUCAACGGAUAAAAGCUACCCUGGGGAUAACAGGCUUAUCUCCCCCAAGAGUCCACAUCGACGGGGAGGUUUGGCACCUCGAUGUCGGCUCAUCACAUCCUGGGGCUGUAGUAGGUCCCAAGGGUUGGGCUGUUCGCCCAUUAAAGUGGUACGCGAGCUGGGUUCAGAACGUCGUGAGACAGUUCGGUCCCUAUCCGUCGCAGGCGUAGGAAAUUUGAGAAGACCUGUCCUUAGUACGAGAGGACCGGGAUGGACGUACCUCUGGUGUACCAGUUGUUCUGCCAAGGGCAUGGCUGGGUAGCUAUGUACGGAAUGGAUAAGCGCUGAAAGCAUCUAAGCGCGAAGCCAACUUCAAGAUAAGAUUUCCCACCGUAAGGGUAAGACCCCAGGAAGACUACCUGGUUGAUAGGUCGAAGGUGUAAGUGCAGUAAUGUAUUUAGCUUAUCGAUACUAAUAGGUCGAGGACUUGACC
rnacentral:rRNA from 1 species